GAUGAACGCUGGCGGCGUGCCUAAUACAUGCAAGUCGAGCGAACAGACGAGGAGCUUGCUCCUCUGACGUUAGCGGCGGACGGGUGAGUAACACGUGGAUAACCUACCUAUAAGACUGGGAUAACUUCGGGAAACCGGAGCUAAUACCGGAUAAUAUAUUGAACCGCAUGGUUCAAUAGUGAAAGACGGUUUUGCUGUCACUUAUAGAUGGAUCCGCGCCGCAUUAGCUAAUUGGUAAGGUAACGGCUUACCAAGGCAACGAUGCGUAGCCGACCUGAGAGGGUGAUCGGCCACACUGGAACUGAGACACGGUCCAGACUCCUACGGGAGGCAGCAGUAGGGAAUCUUCCGCAAUGGGCGAAAGCCUGACGGAGCAACGCCGCGUGAGUGAUGAAGGUCUUCGGAUCGUAAAACUCUGUUAUUAGGGAAGAACAAAUGUGUAAGUAACUGUGCACGUCUUGACGGUACCUAAUCAGAAAGCCACGGCUAACUACGUG
rnacentral:rRNA from 1 species